ensembl:lncRNA
UCUUAAUUCCCGUCUAGGAACCUAUUUUAUUAUUCGUUAUUAAACAUAUUUUGCAUGUGUUUAAAUUGGUGCGUCUCACAUCUCAACCUCUUAUUACUUUUCUAUGAGGCCUCUUUGUAUGGGUCAGGGUUUUCCUUCCGGAACCUUCUAGUGCUUGUUUUGCACAGAGUACCUCUUGAUAUCUCUGAGCGACAGUGCGGGACCACGCCCCGUUCCCAUCGACGGUCAUCCACCCUGAUCCCUAAUGUCAAAAGCUGAGUAGUGCGGUGAAAAAACAAACCAUUUAUUUGGAUCUACUAUCUUACUACAAGAAGCAUUUUUGUUUUUGCAGAGAAAGCUGAACACCUGGGUAGCCUUCUCACCAGCAUAUUGCCAGUGAGUGAAACACACGUUUCUCAAUUUAUAUUUCCUUAUUCUAGUGUGUACCUUCGCGGUCAGUGCAACUGUACUUUAAAACAAAUAAUGAAUGAGUCGAAAUGGAUGGGAAGAUUUUUACAAACGCGACAGUGAUAUGUGACGGUUGACACUGUAGAGCUGAUUUUGAUCUUCUGUUGGUCCAUAUUAGUGUGUUCUUUCAGGGGCACAUUUCAUGGCGAAUGAAUGCAGUCCUCUUAUUUAAAUGGCCCACAUUAACAUAGUGUCAUUUUAACAGUAUGUGUCCGUUGAACUGGCUGCGGAAAAAUGGGGAACAUGUUUUAUGGAAGAAAAAGCAGAUUUGCAGGAGAGAGAAACCUAUUUGAAAUUGUUGUUGUUUUUUUACUGUCUGUGGUUAAUGGUUAUUUGAAGAUCGUUGAAUAAUGAUUAUGAUUGGAAGGAAAAUGUAUAUUUAUGUACAUAUGCCAAGUGUAUUUGUUGCGAGGCCAGUCCCAGUGUGCAGUUUUAUGGCUUCUCUUUAUGUUACAAAGAUACAAAAUAAUAAAAUGAAGUCCUGACAAUGCUCGAUCUAAACCCAUCUCUCAUUGUGUUGUGUUGAACAUGGACUCGUAUUUUAUUCGUCUCGAGGAAAGUCUACUUAAAGGUCAAUAAAACUGUUUUGUCACUGUUGUAUUGUUUUUGUUCAAAUAUAAAUAUGGUGUCUUGUAUCGUAUGAGUUCAGAAAACAAAGUAGCAAAACAAGCAAUAAUUUCCAGUUCUCG